CUCUACCUCCAGCUCCAGGCGGCAGCGGCGGGGAGGGCUAUGGACGGCUGACGCGGGGCGCCGCCUGAUGCCACCACAAACUUCCCCCCUUGGCCCAUCAGGGUUGAGAAUUGCUACGUAUUCAAGAGCCACCUGCAAGAGUACGCGCAGAAAGCUGGUCUCCCAACCCCUGAGUAUCAUACCCUCAAAGAGGGCCCGUCCCACGAACCAAUAUUCAAGUCCACAGUGGUCGUUAACAACACCAAGUACGAUUCGCUGCCUGGAUUCUUCAGCCGAAAGGCUGCAGAACAGUCCGCCGCUGAAGUUGCGCUUCUGGAGAUAGUCAAGUCUGUUCCAGCAACUGAAACCAGAAGCAUCCCAGCAGUAGUAAGUUACUCGUUUACGCAGAUAUUUGUGCUAAACAAGUAAAGAUUCUAAGUUCUAUACAAAAUCAGCCUCCAA